UACGUAGGUGGCAAGCGUUGUCCGGAAUUAUUGGGCGUAAAGCGCGCGCAGGCGGUUUCUUAAGUCUGAUGUGAAAGCCCCCGGCUCAACCCGGGGAGGGUCAUUGGAAACUGGGAAACUUGAGUGCAGAAGAGGAAAGUGGAAUUCCAAGUGUAGCGGUGAAAUGCGUAGAGAUUUGGAGGAACACCAGUGGCGAAGGCGACUUUCUGGUCUGUAACUGACGCUGAGGCGCGAAAGCGUGGGGAGCAAACAGG
rnacentral:rRNA from 1 species